UGAAUGAAAAAUACACAGUAGAGAUAUACAUUAAUCUGAAGAAAAAAUAAUUAAUUCUUGAAAAAAAUGUUUUUAUUAAGGCACAAAAUAAAUGGAAAGAAAACAAAUCACAGCAACUCCAUGAACUUUUGAGGUUGACAGGUAAACAAAAAAUGAAAUGUAGCAUUAAUAUUGAAGAAAUCAAAUCUAAUUACAAUUUCAAAUUAUUUAGUUAUUAUUUGCUGCAUUGACACAUUUUUAUUCAUCAUACAACAUUGUACAUGAUAUACAAAACAAACUUGAUAACUCCUGGCUGCUAAAGUAUAAGACCCCUUGUCAAGGAAGAAAAGAAAGGUAGGCCUAAAUAAAGCAGCUUAAAUAAAGCAGACUUGAACAUCACUCACAAACAAGCUGUAGAGGAGUCAAGGCAAGCUGAAAUAAGUUACAUCUGGAAUCAGCUGGAAAAAACAAAGAUCUCUGGAGAGUUAUGGUUAGUGGCCAUUAUAGCAGAGGAAUCACAUACAACAUUAAGAUGGAACAGAGCAAGCAAAUAAGUAAAAUUUGAGACUCAAAAGACAAAGAAUGAACAAUUUAUUUUACAAGUUAGCACACAAAAAUAACUCAUUAAAUUGAAAGAAAGGAAGAUGUGUAUAUAAAUAUAUCAAUUAUUUAAAUAGACAUUGAUCAGAUUUCUUUUCUUUUUAAAUGAAGACCUGGUGAGACAGUAUGGACAAAUUUCCACAUUAUGGGCUUCUGGACAUAAUUUUGAACAAGAGUAAUAGAUGGCCUUGGUUUUGAAAUCAUCAUCACACUUCAUCCUCACUUACAGUCAAUGUUAUGACAUUGAUUUUUCAAGAAGCAAACUAUUUUACCACAAAACAAGUAUUACACUACAGUGAAUUCCAGCAAUGGCAUCCAAAUGUCUCAAUUGUAGGUUAGGCCAUUAUACUAUGUUAAAAAAACACACCAUAUAAGUCAAAUUUGAUAUUUAGAUAUCUCAAAUUGAAAUGUUAGGUACCCUUUUACCAGCAGUAAAAUAGUUUCUUUGGUAGUAUUUACAUUAAAUGACUGCCACUUAAAACAAAGUUAAAGUGUAGAGUAUGUAUAAAGUUACCAAAUAUCCUACAAGCCACUGUAAAGAAGUAAAAAAACUUAACCCCUGCUAAUUACAUUAUUCAACUAUUUAUUAAACAUUGUUGUAUGAUUAACCCCCCCCCCCCCCC